CUCCAAUAGAAGGGUGUCUCCUAGAUGAAGGUUACUUCCUCAGAAGUGUUCUGUAGCCAGAGAUCCUAUUGCCAGUUGGGGGACUGUGGCACACCAUGCAUGAGGAAAAGACAAGGACCUGACUGUCUAGGUUGAAGAAGAGGAGCCUCAGAUCCCUAAAUUACCUCUUCAAUUACUUGAAGUGUACUAUACAGAAGAUGAAUCCAGACUCUUCUCAGAAAAGCACGUGUGCAAGGUGAAAUGAGCACAAAUUGCAGCAAGAAAUUUUCCACCUAGAUAAAAGGAAGAACAAAUGUCACAAUC
ensembl:lncRNA